rnacentral:rRNA from 1 species
AGCAGCCGCGGUAAUUCCAGCUCCAAUAGCGUAUAUUAAAGUUGUUGCAGUUAAAAAGCUCGUAGUUGAAUUUCGGGACUAAUAUGUCGGUCGUACUUUGUACGUACUAGCAUUAUUGGUUUCUCCCUUCUGACGAACCACGAUGUCAUUAAUUUGGUGUCAUGGGAAAUCAGGACUGUUACUUUGAAAAAAUUAGAGUGUUUAAAGCAAGCUCGCGCUUGAAUACAUUAGCAUGGAAUAAUGAAAUAGGACGUUUGAUUCUAUUUUGUUGGUUUCUAGGAUCGACGUAAUGAUUAAUAGGGAUAGUUGGGGGCAUUAGUAUUCAAUUGUCAGAGGUGAAAUUCUUGGAUUUAUUGAAGACUAACUACUGCGAAAGCAUUUGCCAAGGAUGUUUUCAUUAAUCAAGAACGAAAGUUAGGGGAUCGAAGACGAUCAGAUACCGUCGUAGUCUUAACCAUAAACUAUGCCGACUAGGGAUCGGAUGAUGUUAAUUUUUAAUGACUCAUUCGGCGCCCU